rnacentral:rRNA from 1 species
GGCGUGCCUAACACAUGCAAGUCGCGCGAGAAAGCCCCUUCGGGGGUAAGUAAAGCGGCGGACGGGUGAGUAACGCGUGGACAACCUACCCCGGGGUUGGGGAUAACCCUGCGAAAGCGGGGCUAAUACCGAAUACGCUGUUCUUUUCCUGGGUGAUUUGUUUCACCGAGGAAGGGAACGGGAAAGGUGGCCUCUGUAUCAAGCUACCGCCCCGGGAUGGGUUCGCGUCCCAUUAGCUUGUUGGUGGGGUCAAGGCCUACCAAGGCGACGAUGGGUAGCCGGCCUGAGAGGGUGAUCGGCCACACUGGGACUGGAACACGGCCCAGACUCCUACGGGAGGCAGCAGUGGGGAAUCUUGGGCAAUGGGCGCAAGCCUGACCCAGCGACGCCGCGUGUGGGAAGAAGGCCUUCGGGUCGUAAACCACUGUCAGGAGGGAAGAAAAGCAGUUUCCGAACAGGGAGCUGUGUUGACGGUACCUCCAGAGGAAGCACCGGCCAACUCCGUGCCAGCAGCCGCGGUAAUACGGAGGGUGCAAGCGUUAUUCGGAAUCACUGGGCGUAAAGCGCGCGUAGGCGGCAGCGCAAGUCAGAUGUGAAAGCCCUCGGCUAAACCGAGGAAUUGCAUCUGAAACUGCGUAGCUAGAGUUCGGGAGAGGGCGGCGGAACUCCCGGUGUAGGGGUGAAAUCCGUAGAUAUCGGGAGGAACACCAGAGGCGAAGGCGGCCGCCUGGACCGAAACUGACGCUGAGGCGCGAAAGCGUGGGUAGCAAACAGGAUUAGAUACCCUGGUAGUCCACGCCGUAAACAUUGGGCGCUAGAUGCUGGGGGCGUUAGAGCCUUCGGUGUCGCAGCUAACGCGUUAAGCGCCCCGCCUGGGGAGUACGGU